AUUCGGCUUCAGCCGCCGCGGUAAUUCCAGCACCUCAAGUGGUCAGGAGGAUUAUUGGGCCUAAAGCAUCCGUAGCGGGCUCUGUAAGUUUUCGGUUAAAUCCAUGUGCUCAACGCAUGGGCUGCCGAAAAUACUGCAUAGCUAGGGAGUGGGAGAGGUAGACGGUACUCGGUAGGAAGGGGUAAAAUCCUUUGAUCUAUCGAUGACCACCUGUGGCGAAGGCGGUCUACCAGAACACGUUCGACGGUGAGGGAUGAAAGCUGGGGGAGCAAACCGGAUUAGAUACCCGGGUAGUCCCAGCUGUAAACGAUGCAGACUCGAUGAUGCAUUGGCAUAUAGCCAGUGCAGUGUCGCAGGGAAGCCGUUAAGUCUGCCGCCUGGGAAGUACGUACGCAAGUAUGAAACUUAAAGGAAUUGGCGGGGGAGCACCACAAGGGGUGAAGCCUGCGGUUCAAUUGGAGUCAACGCCAGAAAUCUUACCCGGAGAGACAGCAGAAUGAAGGUCAAGCUGAAGACUUUACCAGACAAGCUGAGAGGUGGUGCAUGGCCGUCGCCAGCUCGUGCCGUGAGAUGUCCUGUUAAGUCAGGUAACGAGCGAGAUCCUCGCCACUAGUUGCUAUCAUUAUUCUCAGGAAUAGUGGGGCGAAUUAGUGGGACUGCCGUUGUUAAAACGGAGGAAGGAGGGGGCUACGGCAGGUCAGUAUGCCCCGAAACUCUGGGGCCACACGCGGGCUGCAAUGGUAGCGACAAUGAGCUCCAAACUCGAAAGAGAGUGGCAAUCUCUAAACGCUACCACAGUUAUGACUGAGGGCUGUAACUCGCCCUCACGAAUAUGGAAUCCCUAGUAACCGCGUGUCAUUACCGCGCGGUGAAUACGUCCCUGCUCCUUGCACACACCGCCCG
rnacentral:rRNA from 1 species